UACGGGGGGAGCAAGCGUUGUUCGGAUUUACUGGGCGUAAAGGGCGCGUAGGCGGUCAGCACAAGUCAGUUGUGAAAUCUCCGGGCUUAACUCGGAAAGGUCAACUGAUACUGUGCGACUAGAGUGCAGAAGGGGCAACUGGAAUUCUCGGUGUAGCGGUGAAAUGCGUUGAUAUCGGAAGGAACGCCGGUGGCGAAAGCGAUCCGCUGGACCUCUUCUGACGCUGAGGCGCGAAAGCCAGGGGAGCAAACGGG
rnacentral:rRNA from 1 species